rnacentral:rRNA from 1 species
AAGAAAGAAGUUUAUAACUUAAGGAAUUAUAACAAAGAAGUAACACAUAAUAAGGUUGCCUUAUUUAGUGUGUAUCAAUCGAGUUUCUGACCUAUCAGCUUUUGAUGUUAGGGUAUUGGCCUAACAUGGCUAUGACGGGUAACGGGGAAUUAGAGUUCGAUUCCGGAGAGGGAGCCUGAGAAAUAGCUACCACAUCUAAGGAAGGCAGCAGGCGCGUAAAUUACCCAAUUCUAAAGAAGAGAGGUAGUGACAAGAAAUAACAAUACAAGGCCAUUUCAUGGUUUUGUAAUUGGAAUGAUGGGAAUUUAAAACCUUCCCAAAAUUCAAUUGGAGGGCAAGUCUGGUGCCAGCAGCCGCGGUAAUUCCAGCUCCAAUAGCGUAUAUUAAAAUUGUUGCAGUUAAAACGCUCGUAGUUGAAUUUCAAAGAAUCAAUAUUUUAAGUAAUACUUUUGCUAUAAGAUGCUUAGACAAUACAACCUAUCUGUUCUUUGCAUUCCUUAUGCAAAAUGUGUUCUUAUUAUAAAAAGGAUUCUUUUUAAAAUCUCUUUUGCUAUUUUUUAGUAUUGGAGAUUUUGUUACUUUGAGUAAAUUAGAGUGUUCAAAGCAAACAGUUAAAGCAUUUUA